rnacentral:sRNA from 1 species
GCCAGGUGUGGUGGCUCACGCCUGUAAUCCCAGCACUUUGGGAGGCCGAGGCGGGCGGAUCACCUGAGGUCAGGAGUUUGAGACCAGCCUGACCAACAUGGAGAAACCCCGUCUCUA